rnacentral:rRNA from 1 species
UAAGACCUUGCGCUUCUGGAGUGGCCGAUGCCUGAUUAGCUAGUUGGUGGGGUAAAGGCCUACCAAGGCGACGAUCAGUAGUUGGUCUGAGAGGACGACCAGCCACACUGGGACUGAGACACGGCCCAGACUCCUACGGGAGGCAGCAGUGGGGAAUUUUGGACAAUGGGCGAAAGCCUGAUCCAGCAAUGCCGCGUGAGUGAAGAAGGCCUUCGGGUUGUAAAGCUCUUUCAGUCGAGAAGAAAAAAUUGUGAUAAAUAAUCACAAUUUAUGACUGUAUCGACAGAAGAAGCACCGGCUAACUACGUGCCAGCAGCCGCGGUAAUACGUAGGGUGCAAGCGUUAAUCGGAAUUACUGGGCGUAAAGGGUGCGCAGGCGGUUUUGUAAGUCAGAUGUGAAAUCCCCGGGCUUAACCUGGGAAUU